rnacentral:tRNA from 1 species
GGAUGUAGCCAAAUGGUAAGGCAGGGGACUUUGACUCCCCCAUCGCAGGUUCGAUUCCUGCCAUC